rnacentral:rRNA from 1 species
GCACAGGUGCUGCAUGGCCGUCGUCAGCUCGUGCCGUGAGGUGUUCGGGUUAAGUCCCGCAACGAGCGCAACCCCGCCGUUAGUUGCCAGCGGUUCGGCCGGGCACUCUAACGGGACUGCCCGCGAAAGCGGGAGGAAGAGGGGACGACGUCUGGUCAGCAUGGCCCUUACGGCCUGGGCGACACACGUGCUACAAUGCCCACUACAAAGCGAUGCCACCCGGCAACGGGAGCUAAUCGCAAAAAGGUGGGCCCAGUUCGGAUUGGGGUCUGCAACCCGACCCCAUGAAGCCGGAAUCGCUAGUAAUCGCGGAUCAGCCAUGCCGCGGUGAAUACGUUCCCGGGCCUU